UCAUGCCUGAAGUUUCACGUGAUGAGGGAGUAUACCAAAGAGAAGGAUGCCUCUCAUAUAUUCACAUGUAAAAGUUUUUUGGGAUUGGGCUUAUUAUGUGAGAAAGAGUCUCACGAUUUUGUUCAAUGCCCUAACCCUCCAUGCACCUCCUCUCUAUGUCUCCCUUCACCUCAUGUCCAAGUGUUGGACUAAAAAAAAAGAUUGGGAUGCCUGAUCCAAUCCUAGCAUGAAGAUUUCUUAUACUUG
rnacentral:lncRNA from 1 species